rnacentral:lncRNA from 1 species
CGCGCCCAGGCACUGCGGAGGGCCAGCCCCACGUGGGGGGUGGGGAGGGAUGCCCGCUCCGCCCCGUCCCCUCCGCGCCGGGCCUCGUCUCAGCCCGCCACGGAGUGGGCGGGACGCCAGGCAGGCGGGGGACGCGGCGGCUGCCAGCCAAGGGGCCGGAGCCAAGAGAUUUGCAUUGGAAGCGCCAUCCUCUUGCGCGUCUGAUGAGGAAGCAGAACCCGGUGACCGACUGAGCUGCAUUUCUGAAGCAUUUGCUGGGUUUUGCCUCACUAAGCCUCGGGGAGCACUGGGGCGCGGGAUGGGGGACCCUGUCACGGAGCCGACACCUGCUCGCGCGCCUCUCCCCCGCUCACGCCGUGCCGCGGGCUCGCCCUCCCCAUCUGCAGCGCCCGCAGCGCCUGCCCGCCCCGCCCAUCCUUCCUCCUGGGCAACCCAGAGGAUGGCGUGAGGACUCCUGGAAGCCCAGAGGACCGGACCAGGGGCGUGGUGGGGAGCCGUAGACCCGAGUUUUUAUCCUUCUCUGGCGCCGACACUCGGCUGCGGAAUCGAGUUUGAGCUCGGUGUAGCUGAAGUUUAAAUUGUAGCUGUUUCAAAGGUAGACCCCACCUCACCCCCACCCCUGGACCAAGACCUCUGGAAGCGUCCUGCCUGGAAGCCGCUUGUGGGGAGGGCUCUCCUAGGGUCUCCAGGCUCCCGCUGGAGCACGCCUGGAGAUGCCUUGGGAGUCUGAGGAACCCCAGAUUCAGCACCCCUGCUUAACCUGCUUUUAAGAAGAAAAAAAUGGAACUUGAUAAACUUCACUCAAAGGAGAGACCCACUAAUAACUCCACACACCUCACACCGAGUGAAGACGCUGAGACAAUGUAUGUGUGCUCCAGGAAUGACUGGAUGAAACAAAAAGAGAGUCUGGAUGCCAUUAAAAUGUUUGACUAUUGGAUUCCCACGGUUUGGGAUGGGAAGCAGAACUCGGUGAAACUGUAGGUUCUGUGUCCGGGCCAAGCGUUGCUGAAAGGUGGAAGAAUUCAUGGAAAGAAGGUUAUACCAGAAACCAAGAUCUGCUUUUUAAAAGGGAACAUGUACGCUCAUGUUUUGGCUUGAAUUCACUGCCUUUCACCUAUGUGUGGUCCCUCCUGUGCCGAGUCAGCAUGGAGUUCAGGUGGUGGAAGACAAACAGCUCAGAGCUGGACUCAGAACUUGGCAGAGUCCUGCUUUCAACUACAUGCAGCCAGAAAACUCUGGAAAACUGAACUGUUUAUUGGGGUCAAACUUUGGACUCCUAGAGUGGAGCUAGCUCCCGUCCUUCCAAAUGCAGCAAUGACAUUAAGGACAUUCGUUCACAUGGUUCACAGUUGGUGUUGGGAAGUUGUCCUACCUGGACAUUGCUGUCAGAGCCAUGGACUAAAAUACUCAAUUCUGGCCUAAAUAAAGCAAGCUCUCGGUGUUAAAGACUUUUUUUUUUUUUUUUUUUUUUUUGAGAUGGAGUCUUGCUCUGUUGCCCGGGCUGGAAUGUAAUGGUGUGAUCUCAGCUUACUGCAACCUCCACCUCCCAGGUUCAAGCAAUUCUCCUGCCUCAGCCUCCUGAGUAGCUGGGAUUACAGGUGCACGCCACCAUACCUGCUAAUUUUUGUAUUAUUAGCAGAGGCGGGGUUUCACCAUGUUGGCCAGGCUGGUCUCCAACUCCUGGCUUCAAGUGAUCCACCCGCCUCAGCCUCCCAAAGUGCUGGGAUUACAGGCGUGAGCCACAGUGCCUGGCCUUUUUGAGGAUUAUUAUAAGUAAAAGAAAAUUCAGACCACGAACAUAGCAUUCCUUUAGGUGUUUUGCAUAGAUAUAGUUUUUUGCUUUACUGUGGGUCCACUGGGAAAAGGUUUGUGGAAAUCUGAGCAGCUGAUGUUUGUGUGCUCAGAUUCUUUGGGACCUAUCUAUAAGACUUGGCGAGGCAAUACGGCUUCCACCAUUUCCCCAGGGAAAAAGUUACUCAAGGUUACUGAACUCAUGAAACCAUGUGGAUUUCCAGCAUGUGUUAUUAUAAUCUCACUAACCUUCCGAUUUUAAAACGCUGUAACUCUGUAAUUUUUUUCUGUGGUCAGCCCUUCCCAAAGGUAUCCACCUUCCAGUUUGUCCUGUGGAGCACGCUCUUGGCAGAGUUUGGCAUUGUUUGUUAUCAGGGGGUUUGAUUUAUGUAAAAUUGCAUUAAAUCACUAAUAAGGAAGACUUUGUUUAAUUUGUAUUUUUGGAGGGAAAGAAAUAUUUUAUGGUAUAACCAUCAUAAAUCU